rnacentral:rRNA from 1 species
UACGUAGGGUGCAAGCGUUAAUCGGAAUUACUGGGCGUAAAGCGUGCGCAGGCGGUGAUGUAAGUCAGAUGUGAAAUCCCCGGGCUCAACCUGGGAACUGCAUUUGUGACUGCAUCGCUGGAGUACGGCAGAGGGGGAUGGAAUUCCGCGUGUAGCAGUGAAAUGCGUAGAUAUGCGGAGGAACACCGGUGGCGAAGGCAAUCCCCUGGGCCUGUACUGACGCUCAUGCACGAAAGCGUGGGGAGCAAACAGG